rnacentral:tRNA from 1 species
GGGCCGGUAGCUCAAUGGUUAGAGCCGCGCACUCAUAAUGCGUUGGUUGCGGGUUCAAGUCCUGCCCGGCCUACCA